AGUGGACACCACUCAACAUUCAUUUUUCUUUGGUACCUAAUCUUUUUUUAUUCAGCAUCUCCCUGCCUUAUCUUGUAGGUCGUCAACUUACGGACUGAUAUUUGCUUGCUCUGGUCCCUGCAAAUACAGAGACUGCUAUUGCCAAGUGUGCACUGGAGAGAGAGCAGAGCCAGCUUGGGCCCCGACCCUGCCUUAGCCAGGGCAGAGAUCGCCAUUGCCAUCACACAUGCAACAGACACCUGUGAAGGAGCAAAACCAGCCUGGCCAUGUCUUUAGCCAGAAUGGGGACUCAGGCCAGCUAAGAAGUGUGGCUCAAAGCUCUCAGGCUCCAGCCACAUCCCCAACCAAAGAUACUGAUGGAUUGCUGUUCUAGUGCCAACCUCACAGAAGAUGAACUAGAAAUCCUAAAGAGCAUUGGAGUAAGAAGUGCAAAGUUUCCAGAGGCUGAGAGAUAACCUAAAUUGCAACAUAAACUUUAUGAGCCACGAACUCUCGAAAGACUUUCUCUUAACAUCAUCUCAAGAAAUCCUCACAACUCCCAUGAGGCAGACAUGUCAUCCCAAUUUUAGACCUGAUUUGUCCAUGGAAGAAAGAAAGGGGGAAAGCGAGGAGAAAGAGAGAAAGAAAGUGCAAACAGAACCUCACACCAUAAUUCAGGACAAGAACAAAAAUUCAGUAAGAAAAAAUAAAGAUCCUGUCAAGUCACUCAAACACUACAAGUGGAAUUCAGCCUUCAGAAAGGACAUGCAUUUAUUGAGCAUUUACUUCAACUACUUUCACAAAGAAAUGAGAACAUCAUAUUCAAGCCUAGGUAAGUUUGGUUCCAAAACCCAGAGGGAAGAUAUCCAACUAAUUCUAACUCCAGGAACUGGAAACAGCUUCUAGGAAAAGGUGACAAUGAACUUUGACCAUUGAGUGAAAUUUUAGCACACAGGGAAAAUGCACUGUGAACAAAGUGGAUUCUUAGUGAAAAUCAUCUUGAAUAAGAUUUCAUUUUUUACGAGGCAGAUAGAAUCCCCAGAAUUUUAUUUUCUUGCUUGCAGAUAUAAAGUGGCUACUUUGGAUACACACAAUCCUUUGUUCUGUGAACUUCUUACAUAAGUGAUGACCCAAAUCAAUAAAAGAUUUAAUCCAAACUGAUGCAAAUGCAAGUGCCCUAGUUUCAGACAGCUGCAGUGGUUAUUUCUGUACAUCUGGGAAACAGCUGUCGAGCCUCAUUUUUACACUGGUUUUUGUUUAACUUCGAAUGAGUGUCAAGACUAAAAGGAAUGUAGGUGAUUAGGAGAUGGUAAACAUCUCAGAAAUACACAGGAGUGUAUUUCCAAGCACUUUUUUUUUUUUCCUGUAAGAGUUUCUA
rnacentral:lncRNA from 9 species